rnacentral:rRNA from 1 species
UACAGAGGGUGCAAGCGUUUGUUCGGAAUUAUUGGGCGUAAAGCGCGUGUAGGCGGCUUUGCAAGUCGGGUGUGAAAGCCCUCAGCUCAACUGAGGAAGUGCGCCCGAAACUGCAGAGCUUGAGUGCCGGAGAGGGUGGCGGAAUUCCCCAAGUAGAGGUGAAAUUCGUAAGAUAUGGGGGAGGAACACCGGUGGCGAAGG